rnacentral:tRNA from 2 species
GGCGGGGUAGCUCAGAUGGUUAGAGCACGGAGCUCAUACCUCCGGGGUUCGUGGGUUCGAUCCCCACCCCCGCUACCA